rnacentral:rRNA from 1 species
CCAGAGAACUUUCCAGAGAUGGAUUGGUGCCUUCGGGAACUCUGAGACAGGUGCUGCAUGGCUGUCGUCAGCUCGUGUUGUGAAAUGUUGGGUUAAGUCCCGCAACGAGCGCAACCCUUUAUCCUUUGUUGCCAGCGGUUAGGCCGGGAACUCAAAGGAGACUGCCAGUGAUAAACUGGAGGAAGGUGGGGAUGACGUCAAGUCAUCAUGGCCCUUACGAGUAGGGCUACACACGUGCUACAAUGGCGCAUACAAAGAGAAGCGACCUCGCGAGAGCAAGCGGACCUCAUAAAGUGCGUCGUAGUCCGGAUUGGAGUCUGCAACUCGACUCCAUGAAGUCGGAAUCGCUAGUAAUCGUAGAUCAGAAUGCUACGGUGAAUACGUUCCCGGGCCUUGUACACACCGCCCGUCACACCAUGGGAGUGGGUUGCAAAAGAAGUAGGUAGCUUAACCUUCGGGAGGGCGCUUACCACUUUGUGAUUCAUGACUGGGGUGAAGUCGUAACAAGGUAGGCGUAGUGCU